GAUGAACGCUAGCGGCAGGCUUAACACAUGCAAGUCGAGGGGUAACAGAGAAAAGCUUGCUUUUUUGCUGACGACCGGCGCACGGGUGCGUAACGCGUAUGCAAUCUACCUUUUGCUAAGGGAUAGCCCAGAGAAAUUUGGAUUAAUACCUUAUAGUAUGAUGACUUGGCAUCAAGAUAUCAUUAAAGAUUACGGCAAAAGAUGAGCAUGCGUUCUAUUAGCUAGUUGGUGUGGUAACGGCAUACCAAGGCAACGAUAGAUAGGGGUCCUGAGAGGGAGAUCCCCCACACUGGUACUGAGACACGGACCAG
rnacentral:rRNA from 1 species